rnacentral:lncRNA from 1 species
CGAGUCCCAAACUGUGCUGGGCUUCGGUUUAUCACAGUGGGGCUACCAGACACCAGGAUCCGACGCUACAAACAGCAGCAACAUCCUUGGUGGAAAAGUUCAAGAAUCUGGUCCAAAGGCAGCCUGAGUGAGCCAGCCGGGACCAGAACCAGGAGCCGCCCAGUGGAAGGGUUAUCCUGCUGAUACCCCACCACUUAUGGAAUGAUGGACCUUUUCCCCACUGGAUUAGAAUGUCCUUUUUGUGUAUCAUCGACCCUGAACAACCCAAGUUUGAGCCGUGUGGGUGCACUUCUACGUGGAUUUUCUUCCUCCUCUGUCACCCGAGACAGUAAGAGCCACCCCUCCUCCUCCCCAGCUGACUCAACGUGAAGAUGACGAGGAUGAAGACCUUUACAAUGAUCUGCUUAUGCUGAAUGAAUAUCUUUUCUCUUCCUUACUUUACUUUAUUGUAAUACAUGAAGCAUACAAAAUGUGUUAAUUGAUUGUUUAUGUUAUUGGUAGGGCCUCCAGUCAACAGGAGGCUAUUAGUGAAGUUUCUGGGGAGUCAAAAGUUAUACAUGGGUUUUUGACUGGGCAGUUCGGGGGUCGGUGCC